rnacentral:rRNA from 1 species
GACAGAGGGUGCAAACGUUGCUCGGAAUUACUGGGCGUAAAGCGCGUGUAGGCGGUUCCGCCAGUCUGGUGUGAAAGCCCGGGGCUCAACCCCGGAAGCGCAUUGGAUACUACGGAGCUUGAGUCCUGAAGAGGAGAGCGGAAUUCCCGGUGUAGAGGUGAAAUGCGCAGAUAUCAGGAGGAACACCGGUGGCGAAGGCGGGUCUCUGGGCCGAUACUGACGCUGACAGCGCGAAAGCCAGGGGAGCAAACGGG